UACGUAGGGGGCUAGCGUUGUCCGGAUUUAUUGGGCGUAAAGAGCGUGUAGGCGGCUCGGUAAGUCCGCUGUGAAAGUCGGGGGCUCAACCCUCGAAUGCCGGUGGAUACUGUCGAGCUAGAGUGCGGAAGAGGCGAGUGGAAUUCCUGGUGUAGCGGUGAAAUGCGCAGAUAUCAGGAAGAACACCCGUGGCGAAGGCGGCUCUCUGGGACGGUACUGGACGCUGAGACGCGAAAGCGUGGGGAGCGAACAGG
rnacentral:rRNA from 1 species